UACGGAGGGUGCAAACGUUGCUCGGAGUCAUUGGGCGUAAAGCGCACGUAGGUGGCCUGUUAAGUCGGGUGUGAAAUCCCCGGGCUCAACCCGGGAACUGCGUCCGAUACUGGCAGGCUUGAAUUCGGGAGAGGGAUGCGGAAUUCCAGGUGUAGCGGUGAAAUGCGUAGAUAUCUGGAGGAACACCGGUGGCGAAGGCGGCAUCCUGGACCGAGAUUGACGCUGAGGCGCGAAAGCCAGGGGAGCAAACGGG
rnacentral:rRNA from 1 species